rnacentral:rRNA from 1 species
CUGGCGGCACGCCUAACACAUGCAAGUCGAGCGAAGUAGCAAUACUUAGUGGCAGACGGGUGAGUAACAUGUAGGUAUCUACCCUUUGGCCUGGAAUAACACGAGGAAACUUGUGCUAAUACCGGAUAAGUCUUUACGGAGAAAGCUUUAUGCACCAUUGGAUGAGCCUGCACUUGAUUAGUUUGUUGGUGGGGUAAUGGCCUACCAAGACUGUGAUCAAUAGCUGAUUUGAGAGGAUGAUCAGCCACAUUGGGACUGAGACACGGCCCAAACUCCUACGGGAGGCAGCAGUGGGGAAUCUUGCACAAUGGAGGAAACUCUGAUGCAGCGAUGCCGCGUGAGUGAAGAAGGCCUUUGGGUUGUAAAGCUCUUUCGUCGGGGAAGAAAAUGACUGUACCCGAAUAAGAAGGUCCGGCUAA